rnacentral:rRNA from 1 species
AGUUGCUAGUAAUCGCGAAUCAGCAUGUCGCGGUGAAUACGUUCCCGGGCCUUGUACACACCGCCCGUCACACCAUGAGAGUUGGUAACACCCGAAGUCCGUGAGGUAACCGUAAGGAGCCAGCGGCCGAAGGUGGGAUUGAUGAUUGGGGUGAAGUCGUAACAAGGUAGCCGUAGGAGAACCUGCGGCUGGAUCACCUCCUUU